UAGGGAAUAUUGGACAAUGGGGGCAACCCUGAUCCAGCCAUGCCGCGUGAGUGAAGAAGGCCCUCGGGUUGUAAAGCUCUUUUGUCCGGAAAGAAAAGCUUCGGGUUAAUACCCCGGGGUUCUGACGGUACCGGAAGAAUAAGCACCGGCUAACUUCGUGCCAGCAGCCGCGGUAAUACGAAGGGUGCAAGCGUUACUCGGAAUUACUGGGCGUAAAGCGUGCGUAGGUGGUUGUUUAAGUCUGAUGUGAAAGCCCUGGGCUCAACCUGGGAAUGGCAUUGGAAACUGGGCAGCUAGAGUGCGGUAGAGNGUAGUGGAAUUCCCGGUGUAGCAGUGAAAUGCGUAGAGAUCGGGAGGAACACCAGUGGCGAAAGCGGUUUUCUGGACCAAUUCUGACACUCAGAUGCGAAAGCUAAGGUAGCAAACG
rnacentral:rRNA from 1 species